GGUGCAGGAUGAGCCCGCGGCCUAUCAGCUUGUUGGUGAGGUAAUGGCUCACCAAGGCGACGACGGGUAGCCGGCCUGAGAGGGCGACCGGCCACACUGGGACUGAGACACGGCCCAGACUCCUACGGGAGGCAGCAGUGGGGAAUAUUGCACAAUGGGCGCAAGCCUGAUGCAGCGACGCCGCGUGAGGGAUGACGGCCUUCGGGUUGUAAACCUCUUUCAGCAGGGAAGAAGCGCAAGUGACGGUACCUGCAGAAGAAGCGCCGGCUAACUACGUGUUAGCAGCCGCGGUAAUACGUAGGGCGCAAGCGUUGUCCGGAAUUAUUGGGCGUAAAGAGCUCGUAGGCGGCUUGUCGCGUCGGAUGUGAAAGCCCGGGGCUUAACCCCGGGUCUGCAUUCGAUACGGGCAGGCUAGAGUUCGGUAGGGGAGAUCGGAAUUCCUGGUGUAGCGGUGAAAUGCGCAGAUAUCAGGAGGAACACCGGUGGCGAAGGCGGAUCUCUGGGCCGAUACUGACGCUGAGGAGCGAAAGCGUGGGGAGCGAACAGGAUUAGAUACCCUGGUAGUCCACGCCGUAAACGGUGGGCACUAGGUGUGGGCAACAUUCCACGUUGUCCGUGCCGCAGCUAACGCAUUAAGUGCCCCGCCUGGGGAGUACGGCCGCAAGGCUAAAACUCAAAGGAAUUGACGGGGGGCCCGCACAAGGCGGGCGGAGCAUGUGGCUUAAUUUCGACGCACGCGAGAACCUUACCCAAGGCUUGACAUACACCGGAAACGUCUGGAGACAGGCGCCCUCCUUGUGUCGGUGUACAGG
rnacentral:rRNA from 1 species